rnacentral:rRNA from 1 species
AUUGAACGCUAGCGGAAUGCUUUACACAUGCAAGUCGAACGGCAGCACGGACUUCGGUCUGGUGGCGAGUGGCGAACGGGUGAGUAAUGUAUCGGAACGUGCCCAGUCGUGGGGGAUAACGUAGUGAAAAUUACGCUAAUACCGCAUACGAUCUAUGGAUGAAAGCGGGGGAUCGCAAGACCUCGCGCGAUUGGAGCGGCCGAUAUCAGAUUAGGUAGUUGGUGGGGUAAAGGCCCACCAAGUCAACGAUCUGUAGCUGGUCUGAGAGGACGACCAGCCACACUGGAACUGAGACACGGUCCAGACUCCUACGGGAGGCAGCAGUGGGGAAUUUUGGACAAUGGGCGAAAGCCUGAUCCAGCCAUUCCGCGUGCAGGAUGAAGGCCCUCGGGUUGUAAACUGCUUUUGUACAGAACGAAAAGGUUUCUACUAAUACUAGGAGCUCAUGACGGUACUGUAAGAAUAAGCACCGGCUAACUACGUGCCAGCAGCCGCCGUAA